rnacentral:misc_RNA from 1 species
GAAUAAAAAUCCUGAAAUAAAAAGGAAAACUACUUCUUUUUAUUCAAAAAUGGAAACUAAAAUUGGUAACAAGCAGAAACUUUUUCCUUUAUAGUAACUUUACUUUCACAUUAAUGCGGGUUUCACAUUUAAAAUUCAUCUGGUUGCGAGGUGCGAGAGCAAGGAAUAGAAAGAGAUUUUCUUUCGUUUUUGUGUGUUUAGCUAGGGUGUAGUUCUCCUUUGUUUUUGUUUAUAGGUCUGCAGUUUACCAUGAGGAUUUCUUUUGAACUAUUUGACUCUAUAUUAGCUUGCAUGUGUUUCUGUGUUUGUGUUUUUGCUCGUGUAUGAAAAUUGCUUCAAUGGCUGUGGUAUAGAGAGGGAGGUACAUUGAGGAUUAAGAGUCGGUCGAGUAAGUGUCGCCCCUCCGACUAUAUGAGAAUGAGAAGCUAUAGGGCUCUCCUUUUCUCUCUAAUUUCUGCUACUUUCAAGCUUUGGAUCUAGGGGUCUUAGGACUGCUUUGUGGGUUUGGAUUAUUCUAGAUUGGUGUUUCUUUAUGCUUUGUUGGUUUAAGCUUUCUCUUUCGAUCCAGUCACACCAACGCUUGAGAGAUUCGGUCCGCUUUGUUGGUUUAUGCUACCAUGGCUAGUGCUUUUGUUUUCAGGAGGUCUUCUAACUUGCCUGGCCUUUUUCACCGAGAGUUGCUUUCAAGACUCCCUUUUCAGGCAAUAUCAACCAUUUGUAGUCCCUUGAUAAUUCAAUUGCAGUCGUCUUUCCUUGGUGAAAUUCCAAUCAUCUCUCUGCGCAACCCCAUCUGCGACGACUUGUGGUUUCCUCAAUCGAGUGAUGGGUCCGGGCAUGGGUUCAUCGUCUGCAAGAGUUUUUCAGUGGGCUUGGACACUCUUUUAGAAUAGGGUUGAGUUUGUUUAGAUAGGCCCCUAUAACUUAGGUCUUGUAAGUGGUUUCAUACGUCAAUGAAUUUUAAUAUCUUUCAAGAAAUAAAAACAUUUAAAAUUCUUGUUAUGCAAGCUUUUACAUGAAUGUGAAAGAAAAGAGGAUUUUCAAAUGGUAAGGUUACUUCCACGACUAUAAUAAUUGAUACCACAAUUUUUUAAACAUUAUUUUAAUUGUUAAGACUAAUUGUCUUCCUACUACUAUUCACAUUUCAUGAAUAAAUUUUUAAUGUGGCAUCUGAUUAAUUUUGCAUUCAUUUUUUUUUUUAUUUUUCUAUCA